AAGACAUUAGUAAAAUGUGCAUAUUACAUCACCUUGUCGAGGUGAAAUCGCAGUUAAACCCCUGUAUGUCUUA
rnacentral:tRNA from 1 species